CAUCAUCAACGUUUGCCCACUAAGGGCUGUCUGUUUGAGGUACACGUUCAGCCUGGGACACUUGUUGCCAGUGUGAUGCUGGCGUCCAAGCGCAGAUCAGCUAGGCGCUGGCGCCACCUAGUGUUGGCAGCAUUUUAACGGCUAUUUACUUGUAUCUGUAGUCACCAACUUCCACUGACUCCUCGAGCCCCGGAGCUCAGAGGGGAUUUGUCCAACAGUAGGACAGAAUUGGACCAAGAACUCAGUCUCCAGUCCUAGGGCCCAUCCAGAGCAACUUGGUUGACAACUGUGUGUGGGCUCCAACACAGAAGACAGCGACCUUCACAUGCAAGGACUGCAAGCUCCAUGUUGGAUUUUGCUCAUCUUAUACCCCACAGUUGCUAUGGCAUUUCAUAAUAAACAUGAUGACAACAACCACCAAUUAUUAGGUACCUACAGGAGGUGGGCACUGUGGAAAUGCUUUAUGCACGUCAUUCCAUUCAUCUCAGAGCAACUCCUUGAGGGAGGCUACCCUCAUUGCACAGAUGAAGAGAGCGAGGCUAGGAGAGGCUGAGUGAGUUGCCUCACAGCUAUAAAGCAGAAGAGCUGGGAUUUGAACCCAGGGAUCUCUGAUGAUAUUUUUAAGACUCUGUGUACGAGGUGCUGCUGAGUUUAUUGUUUUCCAUACCUGGGUUCUGAGAGUUUGAGAGAAUUCAAUAUAAUUUCAGGAAUAUAAAGAACGUCCAGCCAACAAAUGGAUUAUGUUCCCAGAGAGGAUUUGAGUCAAUUGUUUGGAGCUCAGGAUGUACUUUCUGAAGGGAAUCUCAG